rnacentral:tRNA from 1 species
GCCCCAGUAGCUCAGUGGAUAGAGCAACCCCCUCCUAAGGGGUAGGUCGGACGUU